CCAUAAGAUGGCAUUUGCUUCACCACUUUAAGAAAAGUGGAAUCGAGACACAUCCCUGCUCGUGAUGUUCACAUCCCCGGAGAGAUGGACAGGCAGUGUGUUUUUACUCCAGCAGGUGGGGAUUUCUGACAACUUAAAUUAACAUCGCUUGCGUCCCCACCGUGUCUAAAUGUACUAAGAGAGCCGCCCUGAUGACACCAACCAGGCUGAUGAAGGCACCAACAAGGCGGACGCCCAACUAAAGACCACCUAACUUCCUGCUCAGACAGAUACGCUGCUCUGGCCACAGCCCCCCACCUCCCCCCAGGGGGCAGAAAGGAACCCAAGUGGGGUUGAAGCAAGUGAGCUUCGUCCAGGCCGGGAUGCUGACCUUUCUUCCCGCCCUCCUAUGGAGAUUCCCUACCGUCCGGCUUGGGAUUCUGUAGCCUUCACGCCCACACCGGCAACUCCUCUUCCCUGCAAUACCCUCCCACGCCGGCCUGAGCACAGCGGCUGCCACAUCCCGCGUGUUCGAUCAAUGUGGAUUGAGUUCGCCUACUCAUUCAGCAUGCCUGGUCCUAACAGAUACAACUGCACGUACCAAGGUCCAGAGAUCACUCGGGAGAGUGGAGCGCCCUGUGCCACGCGGGUACACCUGGCUCGGAACCCUCGCCAGCUCCGGGCUAAAUAUGGACAUUGAGCCACGACUGGACAUUGGUUCUAGACUGCAUUCAAUGCGUGUUAUCACAUUAAAUAAAGGAAUGAGAAUUCUUCAAGCAAAUAAGAGAGAAAAGGACAGCCUGAAGGAGGUUAUUACAAGAUACUGAGUAUAGUUCCAUGUGCUAUACGGUCCAGAAGACCCAUUUCCUCCGACGUGUCCUUAUGUGCCAUGAACAUGUUCUUCUGGAUACACUUAUUUGUGAGUAGGAGGCUUUGGGUCAAUGGUGGGGUGGGAGUAGGGAAUCCUAACUCCACUGUUCACUAGCUGUGUGACUUCAAGCACCUCCCUAACCUCUCUGAGCCUUGGUGUGCUCAUCUGUAAAAUGGAACCAGAAUCGCCUGCCUCAAAGAAUUAUUGGGAGAAUGCAAUAAAAUAGUAUAGGCCAAACACGAGGUACAAAGUACAUGAUCAAUAAAUGGUAGGUUUUAAAAAAAAAUGAAUGUAUGUACCGCUUAAACUGUGAUCCCAGUAACAGCUACCUGAUUAUACUCUUAUAUAUUACAGUCAUAUGUAUUAUACACUUAUGUGUAUGGGGCUUCUCCCAUACACUGAGGACUCUUUCCUUCUGCUGUGAACUGAAGUGUUCUCCCAGCAUGUUUUCCUGUCCCCUUUGAGGACAAUGCAUCCUCACUCUGUAGACGCAGCUGGUCCUUAACCAGAUGCACGUUUUUACAAAGUUCAGAUGGUGGGACUUCCCUGGUGGUCCAGCAGUUAAGACUCCGCACUCCCAAUGCAAGGGGCCUGCGUUCGAUCCCUGGUCAGGGAACUAGAUCCCGCAUGCUGCAGCUAAAGGUCCCGCAUGCCUCAACUAAGACCCGGCACAGCCAAAUAAAUAAACAUAAAAAAAUUAAAAGUUCAGAUGGCAAUGCAGGGAAUAGAUUGUAAAGGUAAAAACUAGAAACCACGGGCUUCCCUGGUGGCGCAGUGGUUGAGGGUCCGCCUGCAGAUGCAGGGGACGUGGGUUCGUGUCCUGGUCCGGGAAGAUCCCACAUGCCGCGGAGCGGCUGGGCCCGUGAGCCAUGGCCGCUGAGCCUGCGCGUCCGGAGCCUGUGCUCCGCAACGGGAGAGGCCACAACAGUGAGAGGCCCGCGUACCGCAAAAAAAAAAAAAAAAAAACUAGAAACCAGGAAGCCUGGUGAGGGAUCAUGCAACAAUCCAGGGAAAAGAUGAUAAGGCCCUGAAAAGGAGGAGGCAAUGAGGAGAAGCUGGGGAGGACAGCCCUGAGAGAUAUUUACGAAGUAGACUCAGUAGCUUGGCUGUACAGCGGAAAUUAACACAACGCUGUAAAUCAACUAUAUUUCAAUAAAAUAUAUAUUUUAUAUAUAAAAGAAUUGGACUCAGCAGAACAUGACAGAUGAUUGCAGAAGGCGGCAUGGUGUAAUGAAGAGAACUCGAGCUCAGCCAGCCAGGGAGACCAGAGCUAACUCGCUCUCUGCUAUGUGAGGACACAGCAAGAAGGAAGCUCUCUGCAUGUCAGGAACUGAAUCUGCACCUUGACCUAGGACUUCCCAGCCUUCAGGAUUGUGAGAAAUAAAUGUUAUCUAAGCCAUGCAACCAACGGUAGUUUGUUGGCAGCCUGAGCUGACUACAUCAUCCGCGUAAGGUCUUUUAGGAGGCUCUCUGGCUCUGCUGCAUUGGUCCAUUUGCCGUCCCUACACUAAUCCCCCAUUGCCUUACUUAUUGUAGGUUCAUAAGUCCUGGUGUGUGGGGGGCGUUCCCCACCUUCCUGCUAUCCCUCUUCAGAAGUGCUCUGCUAUUCUUAGCCUUUUAUUUCUUCCAUAUGAAUUUUUAAAUGAUUUAAUCAAGUUCUAUGAAAAACAUUGUUCAGAUUUUGAUAGAAAUUGCAUUGAAUCUAUAGAUCAAAUUGGGCAGAACUGGCAUCUUCACGAUCUUGAAACUUCCUGUCCAGGAGUUUGGUGUAUCCACUUAUCUGGGUCGUUAGCAUCGCGAACAAAAUUUUAUAAUGUUCUCCAUAGAGGUCCUGCGCAUAUUUUGGUAGAGUCUUGAUAUUCUCUGAUGCUUUUAUUAGACACUUGAUAUUCUCCACUGUCUUCAAUAGUAAUUACAUUCCUAAUCAUUUGCUGCUGGUAUACAAAAAUAUACCGGAAUCUUAUAUCCAGCAAUUUUGCUAAACUCUGGUAUGAUGCAUGUCAAUAAUAGCAUAUGAAUUCUUCUGGCUUUCCUAUGUAGCAAUCAUGUCACCAGCAAAUACUGAGUUUUAUUACCCGCUUUCCAGUUUCAUGUCUCUAAUCUCUUUUUCUUUUUCUUAUCUUACUGAACUGCCCAGGUCUUCCAAUACAGUAGAACUUAUGGUAGCAGGGAUUCUUGUCUCAUCCUUGAUUUUAAAGGAAAUGCUUCUUAUAUUUCCCCUAUUAGGAUUUUAUUUCUUUGUUUUUUUAUGGAUACUUGUUUUCAAAAUAAUCUUUAAUUUAGAAACAGUUUUUAGCAUGAAAGUGUUCAAAUUUAUCAAAGUUAAAUCUACUGCCCCCCCUUGAAAUGGUUAGAUGGUUUUUCUCUUUUAAUCUGUUAAUAUGAUGAUAUAUUUGCAGUUUUCUAUUACUAGGGCAUCCCAGACAGCUGGGAUAUACCCAAUUAAAUGUGGUAUAUAUUUUUUUAAUGCCAUGUUGGUAUUUUAUUUGCCAAUAUUUUGUUUAGUGUUUUUGCAUCUAUAUUCAUGAGUGAAAUGGGACCAUGAUUUUCCUUUCUGAUAAAAUCUGUGGUUUUGGUGUCAGUACAGGGAGAGGAAGAUGCUGUAAUCUGGCUUUAAUAUCUUUACACAGAAAUCUUUGAAAGCUCAUUUUUAGUAAACAAUCAGGGACUUCCCUCGUGGCACAGUGGUUUAGAGUCCACCUACCAAUGCAGGGGACAUGGGUUUGAUCCCCGGUCCAGGAAGAUCCCACAUGCUGUGGAGCAACUAAGCCCGUGCACCAUAUCUGCUGAGCCUGUGCUCUAGAGCUUGCGAGCCACAAUUACUGAGCCCACGUGCCACAACUACUGAAGCCCACACGUCUACAGCCCGUACUCCGCAACAAGAGAAGCCACCGCAACGAGAGGCCCACGCACCGCAGCGAAGAGUGGCCCCUGCUCGCUGCAACUAGAGAAAACCCGCGUGCAGCAACAAAGACCCAACACGGCCAAAAAUAAUUUUUUUUAAUUUAUUAAAAAAAAACAACUAGCGAUCAAUGGCACCUAGUGAGGACUAGUUUUUUCCCCUAAGUACUCAAAAAAUCAACGAACUUAACAAUUUUCUGUAGCAAUUUCUUGUGGAUUGACAUCAUAUUCACCAACACGUAGAUGUUAAAAUCUGUCUUGUUCCCUCUAAAAAGAUCCGGGUGGGUUUUCCCGGCUCCAACCCCCAGCACCUCUCCCCGUUGCUGUCAUUCCUCGGAGUCGACCGGCCACUGUGCCUCCAGCACACCUGUGCGACCCCGAGAGCGCCUCACCACCUGGACGUGGCUCUCGAGAAACCCAAGAGCCAGCUGGUACGUGACGUGUGCUUUGGGACACAGCACGGGAGGUCCCCCAGGUUUCUUAGAAAAGAAGUAACUUUACAUCAAAGACAUCAUUAGGUUGUGGACUCUUGGCGAGUACACUAAUGUUAUCCUUCAAACAGAACUUUCUAGAUCUGCUUCUGGGCAGGCAGCCCAAUGUGAGAGCACUCCGUGGCCAGGCAGCGCCACUCAGGAGCAAGGCAUCCCUGUCAUCGCCGGCGGGAGAAUCUCGGGGCCAGCUUUCGGCUCCGGCAGGGCCUCGCCUGCAUCAGCAUGCUCUGCUCAUCCUCUCCACCCCCCACAGCGAGCAGGUGGGCUCCAGGAACCCCUCAGGGCGGAGCGAGGUCCAGCUGUGAAGUUCCAAAGGAAGGAAACACCUGCACCUGGCGUCUCCCAGCACAGCAUCCCUGCCUUUGCUCCUUUCCUGUUCUGGCUGCAGACAGGCCACGUCAUCACCACGUGGGGCCCCUCCUGGCUCCUGCAUGGAAAAUCACGGAGGCCCCUUCUGCUGGACAGGCCAAGCCAGGCUCUGCUCUGGGUUAAAGACAGGGCAUCGCUCUCCACAAGACCUAAGGGGUUUCUGAGCACUGAGAUCAUGAGAUAAGGUGGCCAGUUCCCUAAAGAGAAAGGGUUUGUACUUUGUCCCCUUGCCCAUUCUCUUAUCCCCUUUCCCUCCUUCCCCUCUAGAAGGAAAGAAGAAAGGGAGAAAGGAAAGUAGGAGCAGGGAGGAAGGAAGGAAAGGAGGAGCGAGGGAGGGAGAGAGGAAGGAAGAGAAGAAGGAAAGAAGGAGGAAAGGGAGGGAAAGUGGGAGAAAACUUCAGGCAAAUAAAACCCCACGUCUUGAAUUUCUAUGAACACAGGAAGUGGAUUCAUUAGUCAGGGUAGCGGGAGGUAACCGAGGCAGCUCUGAGGGUGGGAGGGCAAGCUGGCCAUGAGGGUUGAUGCCACUAACCUUUGGCAGCUCAGUGGACACGCCAUGCCCUGGCAGGGGGCUGCACUGAGCUGCCGCGAAGAGAUGAGCCCUGUACCCCCUCCCUGGGAUGGCCAAACCUGCAGCCCCGAGGCUGCUCUGUGCUCCAUGAGCUGGACUAGCUCCCUCCAUGGAAGUAUCUGUCAUGGCCCUGGUUUCCUGCCCAGCCCCUGAUGGAUACCUUCCCCAUCACCCCAACCACCCCUUACCCUCACCACUAACCAGCUUUCAUCAGGACAAAAGAAUGAGAAAGAGAAUGGCCCUAUCUGUCUCAAAACACUUCUGUGAUGUUUAUUUUUUCCAUUAUAAAAGAAGUAGCCAGAGGAAGUAUGGAAAAGUACAGGAAAGUUUUAAAAAGAAAGAAUUUACCCAUAGUUCCACUACUCAGAGACAACUGACAUUAAUAUUUUGGGGAACACUUAUGCCCCAUGUAACACCUUUUAAUUUUUUUCCAAUUUAAGAAGAUAGAGGUAAAUAGGUAUUAAACAAAAUGACAAUUAUCACAACAGAGAUAUUCUUAGUAAAAGAACUGUCCUCCUUAACUUCCUAGCUAAGUUUUCCUUAAAAAUCAUUCUCCUGAACUAUUAUAAUGUGGUGGUGGGGAGAGUCUCUUACUCUCUCUUCUCAUGCUUUCCAAAUCGGUUCUUUAUUUAUUAUUUGAAUUCUUACCCAUCACAUUCAUGUUACUUUGAGAGAUUACAAAUUUAUUCUCCAAUAUCUCCAACAGCCUCAGAAAGAGAAGAUCUUAUGCAUAUGUACAAGUCUAAACCCAAUGUGGCAGAUUGAAGAUGGUCACAAAUUCUUGGACAAAUUUUUGUAUGUCCCCCCCCCCCCCAAAUUCACAUGUUGAAGUCCUAACCCCCAGUUCCCUAGAAGGUAACUGUUUUGAAGACAGAGCUUUAAAGAGGUGAUUAAGGUAAAAUGAGGUCAUUAGGGUGAGCCCUAAUCCAAUAUGACUGGCGUCCUUAUAAGGAGAGGAGAUUUGGACACACACAGAGACACCAGGGAUGUGCCCAAACAGAGGAAGGACCAUGGGUGAAAGUGGCCAUCUGCAAGGCAAGGGGAGAGUCCUCAGGAGAAAGCAAAUUUUCUGACACCUCAGUCUUGGUCUU